GACGAACGCUGGCGGCGUGCUUAACACAUGCAAGUCGAACGGAAAGGCCCUGCUUUUGUGGGGUGCUCGAGUGGCGAACGGGUGAGUAACACGUGAGUAACCUGCCCUUGACUUUGGGAUAACUUCAGGAAACUGGGGCUAAUACCGGAUAGGAGCUCCUGCUGCAUGGUGGGGGUUGGAAAGUUUCGGCGGUUGGGGAUGGACUCGCGGCUUAUCAGCUUGUUGGUGGGGUAGUGGCUUACCAAGGCUUUGACGGGUAGCCGGCCUGGAAGGGUGACCGGCCACAUUGGGACUGGGGAACGGCCCAGACGCCAACGGGAGGCAGCAGUGGGGAAUAUUGCACAAUGGGCGGAAGCAGGGUGCAGCAUCGCCGCGUGCGGGAUGACGGCCUUCGGGUUGUAAACCGCUUUCGCCUGUGACGACGCGUGAGUGACGGUAAUGGGCAAAGAAGCACCGGCGAACUACGU
rnacentral:rRNA from 1 species